CCUACGGGUGGCAGCAGUGGGGAAUAUUGGACAAUGGGGGCAACCCUGAUCCAGCCAUGCCGCGUGUGUGAAGAAGGCCCUCGGGUUGUAAAGCACUUUCAGUGAGGAAGAACGCCUGGUGGUUAAUACCCAUCAGGAAAGACAUCACUCACAGAAGAAGCACCGGCUAACUCCGUGCCAGCAGCCGCGGUAUUACGGAGGGUGCGAGCGUUAAUCGGAAUUACUGGGCGUAAAGCGCGCGUAGGUGGCUUGAUAAGCCGGUUGUGAAAGCCCCGGGCUCAACCUGGGAACGGCAUCCGGAACUGUCAAGCUAGAGUGCAGGAGAGGAAGGUAGAAUUCCCGGUGUAGCGGUGAAAUGCGUAGAGAUCGGGAGGAAUACCAGUGGCGAAGGCGGCCUUCUGGACUGACACUGACACUGAGGUGCGAAAGCGUGGGUAGCAAACAGGAUUAGAUACCCGUGUAGUC
rnacentral:rRNA from 1 species